rnacentral:lncRNA from 1 species
GCCCGUGGGACCCGCACGUCAGCGACCCCACGCCCGGCCCCGCCACUGUCCACGUGGAUAAGUGGAAGCGUACUUCGCAGAAGUACGUUUUCGCCUUCAGAAAGCGUAUUUCUCUUCUGCUCCAGUCGUAAGUGCGCUUUCAUAGUUUGAAAACUAUUUUCUUCUUAGGCGCCUUCUGUUUUCUCACUCAGGGGCCUGUUUGUAGAGAUUCUUUUACAAAUCGGUCCCUGAACUUCGUCGGGCUAUAUCUUUUUACUCCCAACUCCAAAUGAGGUGAUUCCAAAGCCCAUUUCUUUGUCUCGUCGAGCCCGUUCUGUUGGUUUCAUUUUCACUAUGGUUUGACACUGUGAAAAUGACCAUUUUUUCCCUUGCCCGUAAACAGCCCCUCCGAGAGAGAACUGUUUCCGGCAAAUCUUUCCGCGAGCUUCUCGCGCUUCUUCCCUGUGUUUUCUUCAUCCCCAGGCAAGCCACAAUACCCACUUGCAUGAUAGUCAUGCAGUAGCCAUGGUUUUCAACUUGAAUAUUUAUUAAAUGAUUGGUUGUUUAAAAUAUGGUUAUCGUUGUUUUGGUAAUGCUUCUGGGUUAGUGCUUACUUGCUUGAUAUGUUGUUAUGCACCUGGUUAUCAUGCCCUGCUAGUUGCUAGUAUUACUUUCAUAUUUCCAUGCUUGAUAGUAGUACAUGUUGGGUUGGUCAUGUUCUUCGGUGCAUGAUUAACGUCGGUUAUCGAGUACUGUUAAUAUGCGUUCUUCCUUUGCUGUUAGUUGGUUAAGUGUUACUCGGUAAUGUUAUUGAUGAGUUCUUGCAUGGUAUUUAUGGUUGAUGCUAGUGGUCAUGUUUUACUAUGAGUAGUGUUGCACUUGUAAUAGUUAUGCUCGUCAUUAUGCCAUGUUCAGUUGGAGAUUAUUCAUAGUUGAUAUGGUGGAUCGUUAUGUUGUACCCUCAUGCUUAUGUUGAUCUCAUGCUCAUGCUUUGUAUAUGCAUCAUGUUAUUUUAUCAUGGCUCAGCAUAUUGCAUUCAAGUUUAACCAGAUUAAAUUCAACUUGAACAACUGUUGGCUGAGUCAUGGUGCCACCAUAUCGAAACUGACCAGUGCAACCACGCUUACCUUAUGGGAAGGUCCUAACUGGGUCUAUUGUCGUGCCUCUCGCCGGUGCCUCUAACGAGGGAAGGUUAUGGGCGCGCGCUACCCUGAUCAGGUAGGCGGACAUAACCUUGUGUGCCCGUUGUUGUUAUUAUGGAUCCGGUCCCCGUGAGGGACGUUUUGGCCACGACAGUGGUCGUUGUGUCUUUGGUAGAUACGGGGCCACCCAGGACUAGCCCAGUUGGGAGUGGGUCGGAGUGGCCGGGAGAGUGUCAUGGCAAUAGAUCGGUUUUGUCGGAACGCCGUUGGUCCACCCGAAUGGGAGUGCGAGGCCAGGGGUUCCGUGGUGUGGGUACAGUGUACUAACCUCUGCAGAGUGUAUAUUAAAUCUAUCGAUAGCCGCGCCCGCGGAUAAGGGCCCAGUUCGUGUCGGUCACACCGUGAGUCAACAGUAUUAAUAAUAACUUGAUUAAUGACAACCCCGGUUUGAUGAUGAGAUAACUUGGUUGUGAUCGCCGGAAAGAUCACCGUUUGAUACCAAGUGUUGGUCAUGGUUGUGAUCGCCGAAAUGAUCACCGUGGUAUCGAGGAUACCGAGUUGUUGGAUAUUCGUGAUGUUGUGCGAGAAUCAUGGGUAAAGAUCAAGCUCCUUGUGGUCAUUUAAUGAUUACUACGGUAUUGUUUAUACCAAGCUUGAUUUGAUCCUGAGAUGAUCGUGUGAUGUCCGAGGUUGGUAAGUGAUGCAUGUGAUGGUUACGUAGUAACCCGAGCAGAAUAAAUAGUGCAUAUAAUGUCUUCAUGUUGCAUGCUAGUAUUGUCGAAUUCAUAUGUUCAUGCUAUGCUCAUGUUGUUCUAGCUGUAUCAUGUUCAUGUUGCGCAAGUCAUGUUGUUAUGAGGAUCUCAUGUUAAUUCCUGCUUAACAUGUAAAUGCCAUGCUGAUGUUUGUCUUGAAUGCUUCUGGUUGAUGUGAGCUUGCAAGUACAUUCAAUGUACUGACCUGGCGUGUCAUGCCAGCUUGCAGGUCGUGCCUAGAUUGCUUGCUUGUUUGGUGUUGUUCCUGUGUUCACGAGCUAGGAUAAGCUUUCCAGUCAGAGUCCCUGUGGAGUGGAGUUCACCACCGUCGUCGUUGUUCCGCUGCCAGUAGUUGUUCCGCUGCCUCAAGUUGCUAUGCUGCUUGCAUAGAGCAACUGAGGAUGGCGUAGUGUCGCCGUGCCGAUGUUAUUCAUUGUAAUAUCGGAGACCUUGUAUUCAUAUCCGUGUAUUAAUAGAAAUCUGGUUUGUUCUAUGCUAAGCAGUGCCGUAUUCCAGAAGACUUCACCUCGAUCUCUAGGCUGGAAUACGGGGCGUUGCGGUUUU